rnacentral:rRNA from 2 species
GGGGAAUAUUGCACAAUGGGCGAAAGCCUGAUGCAGCGACGCCGCGUGAGGGAUGACGGCCUUCGGGUUGUAAACCUCUUUCAGCAGGGAAGAAGCGAAAGUGACGGUACCUGCAGAAGAAGCGCCGGCUAACUACGUGCCAGCAGCCGCGGUAAUACGUAGGGGGCGAGCGUUGUCCGGAUUUACUGGGCGUAAAGGGUGCGUAGGCGGCCUUGUAAGUCAGAUGUGAAAGGCUACGGCUCAACCGUAGUAAGCAUUUGAAACUGCAGGGCUUGAGUGCAGGAGAGGAGAGUGGAAUUCCUAGUGUAGCGGUGAAAUGCGUAGAUAUUAGGAGGAACACCAGUGGCGAAGGCGACUCUCUGGACUGUAACUGACGCUGAGGCACGAAAGCGUGGGGAGCAAACA